rnacentral:rRNA from 1 species
UUAAACACCGGUUCCUAUACAAUCACCAAAGUUAAGCAAUGUUAAGCUUGGUCAGUACCUAGAUGAGUGAUGCUUGGGAAUGCCAGGUGCUGUAAG